AGGGUGAUGAUGACCAAUGCAAGUAUAAUGAAAUGAUGUUAUAUAAAUUCAGUACAUGCAUUACAGUAUAACCAACAUGUGUAAUGUUUUCUGUAUUCAUUUGCAAAGUUCCAUUCACUUCUGCACAGCAGCAAGACAUGCCAGGGCAGCCGCCAUUGGAAUCUCAGCCAUAACCAACCGUUGCAUUUCAGCCCUCACCUCUGGUGCCAGAUUCCCAUGAGGACAUGUCAGCAAAUCCACUAUCUUCAUCAUCCAUUAGCCCAUCCACUGAUCCUGAUGUUGGCACAACUCCAACCCAAUAUGGAUAAAGGGAAAAACAGAGUUGUUGUCGAUGAUGAUUAAAGCAAAUGCAGAAAUGUAAAAAAAAAGAUAAUCUUCGAUGUAUAAUGUUUAAAAGAUGAAUGCAUUCAAUUCACUAUCUCACAGCCUUUGUAAA